CAAAAUUUCCAGACAUGGGUGUCCUUGGAUGCAACCAAUGAUGGGAUAGCUCGAUUUGGCAACCAAAAAACUUCCUAAUGCAAUUCUAGCAAAAGUCCAUUUCUGGAUAGAAACUAAAUGUUGAUGCAAAAGGGUCUUAAACAAGUUAUAUGGGGCUGAAAUCUAGUACUUAAGAGUUUUGCAGGAUCUACUACAAAGCAAAAAAAAUUCAAAGGAAUUGGAAAAGAAAA
rnacentral:lncRNA from 1 species